rnacentral:lncRNA from 1 species
AUGAUCUUCUGCACACACAGAUUCAGCAGGCAGAAAUCGACAGACCACCAACUACGUUUGGCUAACGGGAGCCCUGAUCCUUGGAUGAGAUGGGGAGAGAGGAGAGGAAUGGAUUGUUCAUCUCCUGUGGAGCUUUGGUUUGGCCUUGUUGUGUUCCUCUGCCUAAGACCAUGGCACCUGCCCGGCAGUUGCCUCUCCCAGGGCUCAGCUCCCUUCUCUUUGUCCUUUCCAAUUCUCCAGAUGGUAACAGCAGCCCCGGGGGGCUCAUCCCAAGGUGCUGCACUAUCUGUUGCUGGUUCCCAUAACUCCGCUCCGUUUUUGUGAAAUAAUCCUCUCAUUAAACUUUCCUCAGUUCUCUUCACUGCGUGGCAUCUGCUCCUUGCCAGGUCCCUGACUGACACAGUGGGUUUGAAGAUUUGUGUCACUAUGCAGAUUGGAGUUUUAUUUGUCAUCAAUGAUUCACUUCAAAAAAAAAAAAAAAAAAAACCUUAGUAAAGCUAUGAGAUUGUUAAAUUCAGACAAAGAUAAAGACAAUGUUUUCCCUUUUUUCCCUCUCCCCUGUUUCAAGGUUAAUAAGGCUUAUAGGGCAGGAAAUAACGAUAUGUUAAUUGGUCCUUUGUCCAGCCAGGCAAGGUGCAUAGUCAGGGAGGAGCAAGAUGACAGGAAAGGAGGUGAAGAACUUGCAAAUGAAUAAUCAGAAACAGCAUGAUACACUCCUGACAUGCAGCAAACGGCACAGUAAACCUUCACCUGCAGCGCGGAUUUAUCUUGGGACCAGCAUGGAGGCACAGCGGGUAAAGCUGCCUCCUGUGACACCAGCAUCCUCUAUGGGCACUGAGUCAAGUCCUAGAAAUUCGACCUCUGACCCAACUCCCUGCUAAUGGCCUGGGAAAAAUGGCAAAAGAUGACCUAAGGGUUUCGGCCCAUGCCACUCCGGUGGGAGACCCAGAGGAAGCUCCUGGCUCCUAGCUUUGGGCAUGGCCCUGAGCUGGCCAUUGCCACUAUCUGGGGAGGAAACCAGUGGAUGGAAGCUCUCUCUGUGUUUCUCCCUCUCGCUCUAUAACUCUUUCAAAGUAAACAAAUAAGUCUUAUAAAAAAAAAAAAGAAUGUAUUCAUCUCAUUUCACAGACUGGAUCUCCAAAGGAAUAUAACCAAUAAAAUUCUGCAUUUAGAAAUUCA